GACAUGAAUGUGAAUGGGAUUCCAGAUUCUAGAAACCCUUAAAUCAUAGACCAUAAGGAACCACACCCCUGGAAGUCACCUGAAGUGAUGUGCGAGCAAUGUCAUAAUCAGGCAGAGAGACUACACAAACACCACACGACUGAUGGGCAUACAGCAUUUCCCAGACAUCUGCACGGAAAUGAGUUCAGUUGGAGCACCUAUAUCAUCUCAUGAAGGACUUGCCAUCAGGCUGACCCAUCUAGGAGUCCAAUGAGUAAAUAAACCAACGGGACUGACCUUCAAAGGGAAAGAACCAGAAACCUCUCUCCAUGUCAAGGACAUUAUAAUCAUGGCCUUGGAAAUCUUCCUUCUCCAUGAUUGGAGCUGCUGGUGCUUCCAGUCAAGGCCAGGAAGAGGAAAUGAAUUCGUGGGAAAGGAGGUCGUGAUCAUAUCGCCCCUGCCCUGAGUUACUCCAGGACCAGAAAACUAGAAAUCACCCCUGCAUAGCCCAGAGCCCGUUGGAAUUAUUCAAACUCUCCAACUUUGAAAACCAAACCCCGUAAUAUUUAGUAGCUGCAAAUGGAUCCCAGGGGACACCAAACGAAUGCACGAUGGAGAGACAUGGAGGAAAGACCCAGAAAACAGUCUGUCAGGGUACUCAGCGUGGCUGCCUUCGGUAAGCUUGUGUGCCCAGAGUGGUAGUUUUGUAUUAACUACGUGUAAUAGAAUCACAUUUUUCUGCUAAGGGGGCUAGAGUGGUGCCAUUUGGUGAAUGUUCACUGUAUGCCCUGAAUUUAGAGAGGAAUAUAUAUUGAGUGGCUGAGUGGUCAGGCAACAUACCCCAGGUCACAGAACUAGCUGGUGCUUGGAGUUUGAAUGCAUGCUUCUGCCUCCAAACGCUGGCUCUUCGUGUCUCUCUGCCCAGCUCCUCACGGCUCUGCUUGUCUCCUUUAACCAGCAGGGUUUGGGGGAAAGGAUGUAAAAGGAGAUAUGGGGGAAUGCAACAUAAAACAAGUGACCUUGCCAAUGGACUUCAAGAGCUGACUGAGGGCUUAUCCCAGGCUAGCUGAAA